GUUUAGAGUCCCCAGUGACCUCAAAGCCCUCCUCUCAUUAGGAGAAAACACCUGCCAGUCCCCAGGCUGACUCAAGACGGGGGCCAUUUAUUAGAUAAACCAAACGACUCCAGUCCUGCAGGAGCCCCCAGCCCAUGGUGGACACAGAGAAGGCCGGUUCCAUAAUACUAAGGGGAGUCCCUGAAGGUCUCUGAGCAGAAGUAUGCUGCAGCAAGAGCAGGUACUCUUGCAGCUGCUGAAGGAUGUACUGCAGUGGAAGCCAGCUGAGACCUGAGCUAAUGCCACUGCGGCCACCACUACUCUAGACUGGGGAGAAAAGAUAAAGAUGGCAACAGGACGCGAGUGGAGAGUAGUUGCAGAUGACCUCUAGAGCCCCUCCUAGCUCUUUCUAGAGUCGACGACUUCAAGAUGGGUAAGACGUACUCCCACCGGCCUGCCUGGGCCCCGGGCUGUGGAGCACGGCGCCUCCAAGCUGGCGCCCUGACGACGAGAGCCACUCCUGACGCCUCUCGCCCGCGGCCGCCAGCGGCACGGAAAGUAUGGCACGCACCCAGGGUGGUGCGUGAGGGCAGAGGAGCAGGCCAGGAGCGCGGCCGGGCAUGGGCCGAGGCAGGGCCUUCUCGGCUUGCCAUGGACCUGCCCCGCUGCAGCCCAGACCUCACGCCCCAAACCCAGGACAUCCAGAGCGGCGGAGACCGGAUUCCCAGACCGCAGGGCCCGUACACGCUGCGAGGAGGCUGCGCGGGGAAGGGCUGGGCGGAGCUCCGCAGGGGCGGGGACAGGUGAUUGGGUGGCACCGCCAGGG
rnacentral:lncRNA from 1 species